rnacentral:misc_RNA from 1 species
GAUGAAGAACGUAGCGAAAUGCGAUAAGUAGUGUGAAUUGCAGAAUUCAGUGAAUCAUCGAAUCUUUGAACGCACAUUGCGCCCCUUGGUAUUCCAUGGGGCAUGCCUGUUCGAGCGUCAUUUGUACCUUCAAGCUCUGCUUGGUGUUGGGUGUUUGUCUCGCCUCUGCGUGUAGACUCGCCUCAAAACAAUUGGCAGCCGGCGUAUUGAUUUCGAAGCGCAGUACAUCUCGCGCUUUGCACUCAUAACGACGACGUCCAAAAGUACAUUUUUACACUCUUGACCUCGGAUCAGGUAGGGAUACCCGCUGAACUUAAGCAUAUCAAUAAGCGGAGGA